rnacentral:rRNA from 1 species
UACGUAGGUGGCAAGCGUUGUCCGGAUUUACUGGGCGUAAAGAGCGCGCAGGCGGUCGUUCAAGUCGCGUGUGAAAGCCCCCGGCUCAACUGGGGAGGGUCACGCGAUACUGAUCGACUCGAAGGCAGGAGAGGGUAGUGGAAUUCCCGGUGUAGUGGUGAAAUGCGUAGAUAUGCGGAGGAACACCGGUGGCGAAGGCGGCCCACUGGAUCGGUACUGACGCUGAGGUGCGAAAGCGUGGGGAGCAAACAGG